rfam:Echinostoma caproni strain Egypt genome assembly, scaffold: ECPE_scaffold0026798
CAAUGCUGACAAGUCCCAAACAGGACGAAACAGCUGUCCAGUGC